UGCAAACACCAUACGUUUGACUUGUGCGGAUCCGAGGAAUGGAGAAUGAAAGCUCUACCAGCCGUCCAAUGGUCUUCGAUAUUCUCAUGCUCUCCAUUUUAAUUUAUUUGCUUCGCCAUGCAUGUUUUCCCCAUGCUUUUAUAUAUAUAUAUAUAUCAAUAGUAUAUAAUAAGAAUUUUGAUUUUUAAAAAAAUGAGUUAGAGAUUAGUGUAAAUAAAUUGAGUUUAAGUAGAUAAUAUUAUGAAUAGAAAUUUGAAUUGUCGGUAUAAAAAACUAAGGAAGGAAGGAGGAGAAAAUUAGUGAAUGUGUGCAAAAUGAAGAAGGAGGAGGGGUUAUUUAUAGCAGUCAGAGGAGGUCACCUGGGACGCGCCUCGUAUCUUAGGAUGCGUCGCGCGUUGUAGCUGGCCUCCAACGACUACUUUCUAGCNNNNNNCCCCCCACGACCGUUAGAAAGUAGCCGUUGGAGGCUAACUACAACCCGCAGCGCGUUCUAAGAUGCGUAGCACGCUGUAAGUGCUAGUAAUGGUCAGAUCGUGUAAUUUACAUUUCGACUUGAUUAUCUACAUAAUUUAUGAUUUAAUCUUCCUUAAAAAAAGUCCUCCAUAAAAAGAGAAGAGAUAAUAAGAAAUAAAAUAAAAAAUUAAACAAAUUAAACUACUUUAAACAUGAUCUAAAACCGAGGAAAGAGAUCAUUACAAAUCACAAAUAAUUAAGAAAACUUCCAUUAAAUAUUAAAAAAAUCAAAACCCUACUCAAAUGAUGGAAAAACUCAUUUUGUGAGAGGUAAGAGCUUUUAAUAAUAAUUAAUAAAUUAAAUUAUUGGUUUCUCACUUGUCUAAUUCAAGUACCUAUUUAUUGACUAUUCUAAACUUUUAAAUGAUCAACAAAAAUAUCUAAUAAAUUUAAAGUAUUUUAAUGAUUAGGAAAACAGAAAAUAUCCUAAUCUAAGAAAAAUUGACUUCACAUAACAAAUGAACGAUCGAAUGUCAUGACGAAAUUAAUUAUCAUCAAAUUAGAUUAUGAUAUUUUAAGAGUGUGCAAGAACAAAUAAUUUGGUGGGCUUUUUAAGGGGGGUGGGGACCAAAGGCCGAAAUGAAAUGGUCCAGUAGAAGGAAAAGCCCUCUUCGAACUCUUACUAAUUAAUAUUAUUAUUGUUAUUAAUUAUUAGGCAGCAAAAAUUGAAAGCUCGAGCUGGCUGACUGGUGGAAAUUAUUAAUAAACAAACCCUCGUGGCCUGAAAAUUAAUUGGUUGUCCAACUGGACUGCUAUCCAACCCAGUUGCCUGUUUGUUUCUUUGAUCGACUGAAAGCUAUAACUCAUGUGAUCAUAUUAAUUCAUCUGUCUAAUUUUAUGCAUUCUUGUGUGCCGACAAGCCAGCAACAUGGCCUCAACACAAUUCUUCUUCUUUUCCAUGAAUAAGGGUGGAAAGAAUUCAAGUCGAGCAAAAAAUCGACGAAAUUCUCAAGGUUUACAAUGUGUUGGCCAGAGUCUGUGUAGAGUGUGGUGAGGGAAGGAUUAUCAAGGGUGACAUGAGGUAAUCAUCAGCUUUCCUCGACUUCAAACAGCUAGCACAAUGUAGUAUUGUGGAUAAGCAGUUUAGAUAAAUUUGGUCGACCACUGUAUUAUAGUUGUCUGAGGAAGUUGAAGAUCUCCUCGACCAAUGACUUGAGUACGUGGAGGAGCUUUAAAGACAUAUAUCAAAAUAUAGGUUUGUAUCGUAGAUGCGAACCAAGCCACACAUUCUCGACAGAUUUGGAUACAAUAUGAUAGAUCAACUAUAUGUCGGCUAUUUUAUGAAAGUUGAGCAAAAAAUCAAAUAAAUACCUGAACAUUGGUGUCAAGAUGUCGUCCAUGGGGAUCAACAUCGAAAUAUGUUCGUUGAUGGUGCCAAAGAUCUAUAAAGCCUAUUGACAAGGAAAUCAU
rnacentral:lncRNA from 1 species